UACGAAGGGUGCUAGCGUUGUUCGGAAUUACUGGGCGUAAAGCGUACGUAGGCGGCUUGCCAAGUCAGAGGUGAAAGCCUGGAGCUCAACUCCAGAACUGCCUUUGAGACUGGCUCGCUUGAGUAUGGGAGAGGUUGGUGGAAUUCCAAGUGGAGAGGUGAAAUUCGUAGAUAUUUGGAAGAACACCGGUGGCGAAGGCGGCCAACUGGACCAUUACUGACGCUGAGGUACGAAAGCGUGGGGAGCAAACAGG
rnacentral:rRNA from 1 species